AAAAACACCCCAAUUAUGAAUCAAACCCAAAAUCUCUAAUUUCAUAAACUAAUAUACCUUAUCCAUUGAGCCACAAAGCCUAUAUUGUUAUAAACUUUAUUGAUAAAAGUGCAAAGAUAAAUUGUGAAAAAAGUAUCUUAUUUACUCUAAAUAAAAGUCUUAUUUGAUUUUAUGAAAAAUAUCAAAAAAAAAUUAUAAAAAGAUAAAAAUAAAAAUAAAUAUACCUCAACUAGAAUUUGACGUAAAAUCUUUAAUCUUGAUGAGGAGUAAUAUAUGCAGAGCAGAGGAAUGACCUUUAUCAGGGAAACGAACCUCGCCAGAGGAACGGAUGUCGUCAGAGAAACGGUCUUCACCAGAGAAAU
rnacentral:lncRNA from 1 species